GAUGAAGAACGCAGUGAAAUGCGAUAAGUAGUGUGAAUUGCAGAAUUCAGUGAAUCAUCGAAUCUUUGAACGCACAUUGCGCCCCAUGGUAUUCCGUGGGGCAUGCCUGUUCGAGCGUCAUUUACCCCCUCAAGCUCCGCUUGGUGUUGGGCGUCUGUCCCGCUUCGCGCGCGGACUCGCCCCAAAGGUAUUGGCAGCGGUCGUGCCAGCUUCUCGCGCAGCACAUUGCGCUUCUCGAGGCACCGGUGGGCCCGCGUCCAUCAAGCUCACCCCCCCAGUUUGACCUCGGAUCAGGUAGGGAUACCCGCUGAACUUAAGCAUAUCAAUAAGCGGA
rnacentral:misc_RNA from 1 species